GACAUGGUGGCUGAUUGGGCUGAGGAUCUACUGUGCACCCUGAGGGGAGGAAAGAGAGGCCCAGCGAGGAAGGCGAGAGGGAGACCAGAGCAGAAGGCUGCAGCAGAGUCUGAAUGGAUCCCCUCCUAUGCAUAUCAGGCCAGAGGCUGAAAGCAAAGCAUCAGUAACCGCCCCAGAAAGAAAAACCUGGAAAUGUUUUCAUCUCAUUUUCAAGGAGGACUUUUUACCCUAAAGACAGUCAGCAAAUGGAGAUGGCGGUAUCAGAACAACAAACUAGCAUUUCUUUCUUCUUUUUAAAAAGAAACACGAUUGUUUUGUCUCUGACUUACUCAUGUGCAGUGCGGAAAGAGGAAAUAGAGGCUGGUGAGGUAGAAGGAGCUGUCCUGCUGCUAAGUCCAAACAUUGGUGCUAAGAAGUCCCCAGACAGAUGGAGGACAUUCAUUCAGCACAGAAAUCGUGACAGAGAAGAAGUAAAGCCAAGAAAUACUGGCCUGGAAGUAACAUUAGAGGAAGCUAAGGUAGAGUGGAAAACAAAAGACUUUCUCAUUAUUUUCAACCAGCUCUAAGAGCAAUUCUACAAUAAAUAUCUUUUUUUCUGGAGUGAAUUCGUUUGAGUAACAUCUUCCAACUGAACAUCAGCUCAAUAGCUUAUGUUAUUUUAUCACUUAAAGCAAUUAGAUAUCUGAUUGUUGUCGUUUAGUCGCUAAGUCGUGUCCAACUGUAGUCCACCCGGCUCCUCUGACCAUGGUAUUUCUCAGGCAAGAAUAGUGGAGUGGGUUGCCACUUCCUUCUCCAGGGGCAGGGGAUCUUUCUGACCUAGGAAUCAAACCCAUGUCUCCUGCAUUAGCAGGCGGAUUAAUAUUAAUCCAAAACUGGCAGGACCUAACUUAUUCUUCUGAGGAGCCAUUCCUGAAGUUCUUCAGAAGUGUUUUAUUUUACCCUUGCAUGAGUAUUUAUCUAAGUGUCAUCCUAGGCCAUUCAUAUGCAAAUCAUUUGGCAGGGGAAGGGUGGUGAUGAUGGGGGUUGAAGGAUAAAAAUGCAGAUCUCCAAGUUCCACCCAGAACUUACUACACUAGACUCUGGGAAUAGAGCCUAGAAAUGAACAUUUUAAACCAUUGAGUCAUGUGAUUUUAAUAUACUCUAGGGGUUAAGCAUACUGAUACCUAGAGCAUGCCAGUCAUGAUACCAGACAAUUGAUGGUGCUCUGUGCUCUGCAAAGACUUUUGUAUAAUAUCUCAUUUGAGUCUUACCACAAGCCUCAGGGAAGAAUAUCGGAGCAGGUAUUAUCAUUUCCGUUUUAUGAAGAUGAGCCCACAGCUCUGAGUGGUCAAGUAGCUUGCACAUGGUCACAUGCUUGUAAGUGGGGUAGCCUGGACUGUAACUCAGGUCUUACAGCAUCAAGAUCAGUGCUCCUGCCAUAACCCGAAUGGUAACAACAUUCCGACUGACUAAAUGUGGAAUUUCAUCUUUGGCCACCGCCUAAAGGGAAGUAGUCUGAGCAGCCACAGGAAGGAGCAUCAUUUGUGGAAAGAGAAAAUAAAACUGAAAACUUGGAAGAUAUCAACAACCAACAUAUCUAAGGUCAUUAAUGACCUAAUCAUAAUGUUGAAUUUUUUGAAAUAUAAUAAAUAUUUUAAUUACAUAUUCAGGUGUGUUCUGGUUGACUCUAUAAUUGGUUUGAACAGAAACAAUCACAUUUUUAUAUAGUGAUGAACCACAUGAUCAGAAAUUCAAGUAAGCCACAUUCAUUUACCUUUAGUGAUAAUGGUGUUGGAAGGUAGCUAUGCUCACCAUUAUUCCACCAAUACUCGUUUUUUUAGUGAUAAUUAUGCUGAAUGAAAAUCCAUGUGACUCAAAUCUGAGUCAAGGACAUUUGGGGAAUUAUUCAUACCUAUUUUCCUUUUGUUUGCAAUCUACAAUGUCACAGUUUCAUUCUGAAAUUUUAGUGGAAUUAAAUCUGAGGAACUCAAAAAACUAUAUCAUGAAGUUUGGUUCCAUUACAAUUAUUAGCCAAUCCAAGCCUGCUAAUGAGACACACAUGGGCAACUAGUUUCACAACCAUAGUGUUAGGCAGAUGGGUAGUCCUUGUUGAACCACUACAUACAUGGUGAUGGGUAAUAUUAUGGGUCAACUUGGCUGGGGUACCAGAUAUCUAGUUAAACGUUAUUUUUAGUGUGUCUGUAAGAGUGUUUGCAGAAGAAAUUAGUAUUUGAAUUAGUAAACUGAGUAGCCCUCCCUAACAUAGGUGAGCGUCAUCCAUCCUGUUGAAGGCCUGAAUAGAACAAAAAGGUAGAGGAAGGACCAAUUUGACCCCUGCCUGAACUAUUGGUACAUUGAUCUUCUCCUGUACUCAGAUUGGGACUUACACCAUUGACACUCCAGGUUCUUCGGACCUUCAGACUCGGACUGGAACUAUAUUAGUUUUUCUAGUUCUCUGACUUGCAAAUAACUCAUUGGGGGGUUUCUCAGCCUCCAUAAUUGCAUGAGCCAAUAUCUUAUAAGGUCAAAAAUCCCUCUCUAGAGAGGGGGGUGGUUGGUGUGAGAGAGAAGUGUUGGUUUUGUUUUUCUGGAAAAUCCUCAUACUGUAUGGUGUUUUUCACCUCGACGUCUCAGUGACUACACUGCGGGGUCAUUUAGCUUUGACCCCUUGCCAGCCACUGAAUUUCUAACAUAAUAAGAAGAUCUGGGUUUUGUGUUGGGCCCAUGUACGACUGAGCGACUUCACUUUCACUUUUCACUUUCAUGCUUUAGAGGAGGAAAUGGCAACCCACUCCAGUGUUUUUGCCUGGAGAAUCCCAGGGACGGGGGAGCCUGGAGGGCUGCCGUCUAUGGGGUCACACAGAGUUGGACACGACUGAAGCGACUUAGCAGCAGCAGCAGAACUGGUAGCUGAGCUUUGUCUCAUGGCCUCAGGUUCGGCAGGCAUCUCGUGGUGUGAGAGCAUAAGUGGCUGGUUCACAGGAUGGGAAAGCCCAGACCCCUUUCCAGCAUCACUUCAAAAACAUCCUUUGGCAUGAGACACUGAAAAAACUGAGUAAGUCCUUUGUUAACUUGGAGUCUGCACGAAUGUUUAUGUCACAUUUGGUGAAAAAUGCAGAUUACCCUGCUAGGCUUACAUCACUAUAAUUAAAACUUUUGCUAAUAGUCACUUGUGGAUUAAUUAUAGUCAAUCCUGAGUUAGAAUAAAUCCAGGCCAUUGGGGGCAAUCUGGGUACAACAUAUGAUUGUAUUUCUCUAAGUGCCAGUUGGGUUGUAUAUUUUUCCAUUACCCCUCGGUCUAAUUUUUUUUCUUUCUUUUUUUUUUUGUAUCCCAGAAAUGUAUCUGUCCUCUCCACUGGAAAAAAUAUGUUAGUUUUCUAAUUUUCAAAAUAGUUUGUAGUCGUUGUUUAAUUAUUCUUUGAAUCACCUGGGUUUAUCAAGCUGUAGGAUAUAACAGGUAUGAACUGUUCCACGUACUUGAGGUGCAAGAAAUAUCACUUAUUUUUCUAGCUCAGGAUUUACUCUCUGAUCCCAGUAGUAAUUGUUUAGGAAAGGGAUCUUCGUUCUCUCUUUUCCCUCCCUGAGUUUUACCAGAUCCUCAGGACCUACUCAGUCUAGGAGGAUGGGAAAAGAGGCCUCUGUCAUUAAUCUACUUAGUCACCAGAGAAGAUGCUCCUUGCCCAAGUGGGCACAGGCCUCCCCACAGCUGGGGGGCACUGUGGCUGUACUCUCUUCUCACCAGACCAGAUAGCAUGGCAGCUGUUCCCAAGCUGAGGGGCUGGUGACUGGCCUUGACAGCAUUCCUGUAAGCCAUCCUCCACUCAAGGUCCCACCACCUUCUGGGCACUGUGUGUUCCCCUCUCCUUAGGGACAUCAAACCAGAGAACAGACCACUCUCAGCCUGAUGUCAAGCCUCUCUCCAGACACGUCAUGACUCCCACCCCAACCUCCACCCCCUGCCUCUUCUUGCCUGGAAAUCAGUGCUUCCAAACAAAGGCUUGAUCCUAGAACGUAAUAUGUGUCCUUUGGGUGCUAGGAACACAAGAAAACAAAGGCUGACUGCAUUCUCUGAUAGGAGUAAGGGGAAAUUUCCCUUUAGUCUUUGCUGAUGAGUCCACAGUAGCAGAAAGAAAAAAAAAAGCUUCCAUAAAACCAUAAACCACACACAAAAAAGGCAAGAUACCAGAUACUCUCAAUAUUUCACUCUAAGUAUGACAUAUAAGUAUAUACAAUUAUUCUGUUUUUCCUAUAAUUUUGCUUAAAUAAUGUUUAUCUACUGUUACAGUGCUUAUUCUCCCCUCUCUCCCCCAGUAUAUUUUGUCCCUAAGACUGAAAUUAUCUCUGAAAUAUAUUUUAUUCAGUUAGUGAUUUUUAUCCUCUCUCACU
ensembl:lincRNA